CUGGACUGCAGGGUUGGCUGCGGCACCGGCUGACCACAGGGCCCAACUUUCCAGUCCCAGCCGGAGGGAAGCGUCUCAACCAUGUUGUAGGCACACGGGUGAGGGUGCUGCCUGCCUCCCUGACUCUUACCUCCCCAAGAGAGGAAAACAAAAGAAAAAAAGAUAAGACCAGGAAAUGGAAAUAAGACAAAGAAGAAUGAAAUUUUAAAAUCCGAACAAACCCAAACAUGCUGUUUCAAAACGUAAGUCCAUGAAGAGUCUCGUGGUGAGAAAGACAGAAUUCCUAGCCAGGAAAAUGCCCCGUGCUUGCCCCUCGGAGGCAGGUGCUCACCACGGCAGGGUCUAUCUAGGUGUUUAUUAAGGUGUCUCACCACGUAUCGCCCAGAUUCACCAGAGAUGCAGAGGCGGAGGAUACGUUCCUGUUUACAUUGAUACAUAGUUACAUAGGUGAAGAGCUUUACAGCGAGGAAGCGGCUCACGCGGCCAUGAGGGACCCAGGCAGGAGCUGCUGUUGCUGCCCCAGCAACUCCACGAGUGCUCGAUGGGAAACUGCAGACAGCAGCCUUGCCAAGCGGAUGCCCAGGGCCGACCACCGCAGCCCCUCCAGCCACGUUCUCCAUCAGGGCAGCCUCCUGCUGGCUUCGGCACUGCAGGCAGCACACCAGCGAGGGGUGGGGCUGUGUGCCACGAAGCGUCAUCCAUGGACAUGCCACGAAGGGUUAUUCUUCUUUUGACUUUUUCUGAUGGUUUAAAACUGUAAGAACAUGCAGCUCACAGUCCGCACGGAAGCAGGCAUGUGGCUCCUGCCUCACUGUGGGAGGAAAGAUGUUCUCUAAAGAAAUGGCUGGGUUUGCGGAGGGGUUUGUGGAGGGCCGGGCAGUCUGAACACAGCCCAGCUGGCCUUGGUGGAGGUGGGGCUGGCACAGGGGGGUGGGGGCAGUUCUUCCUGACGCAAAUCCUAACGCCUUCAACACUGACCUUCCAAAGAAACAGCUGCUGGACGCUGCCCGACAGCAACGAGAGCCCCGCUCCUAAGGCGCGCGACUCUCGAGGGCUUUGUUGUUUAUUUGGCACCCGAGGCCCAGGCUCACAGGGUCUCGGGUGCAUGGGACCCCCCAGCCCUUCCCACUGCUCUGCGAUUCUUCCUCCCUUCUGGAAAGGUCAGUUUGGGGUUCUAUUCUGGGAGGGGCCAGGCCGCCACCUGGCCUCAUUAACUGGGCAGGCCACUGGGACCUCCUCCGAAACGCUGCGGCCCUGGCCGAAGACUUGCCUCCCGCCGGGAGCCUUCGGCCCUCUUAGUAGUGGAUGUGGGCUUCCUCCCUCUGAGGGGACGUCCUGAUGGACACGAGAUGUGGGGCGCCCGUGGGUGGCCGCCUGCUCCUGCCACAGUCCCCCUUGGGGCCUGAGCUGCGGCUGCUGCCUCCGUAGGGAAGGAACAAUGGGGGGUGGGCCCGCCCCUACCCAGAGAGAGUGGGCCGUGUUGCCUGCAAGGCCUCAGCCAGGGGACCACGUUUCUCUGCAUCUUGUGGCUUUGGGUUCUGCAGGCUGUUUGUGGGAGAACGGGAAACAGUCCCAGAGAUGACGCUGCCUCAUGCAGGUUAACAGAGUUGGAGGUCAGGCCGACGCCUGAGGCUCAGGACGCUGAUGGGCGCCUUCCCUCACCAGGGGUGAGCCCCCAGCCCCGUCUUCCCUCGCCGGGGUGAGCCCCUCCCCAGCCCC
rnacentral:lncRNA from 1 species